UUACGUGACGAAGCCCGUGCCAAAGUAGACAAUAAGGCCUGAGCCUCACGUUAAUCGCCCCAGACGCCGGUUAAGCCGGCGUUUUUU
rnacentral:sRNA from 1 species